rnacentral:tRNA from 1 species
AAAAUCCGUCGACUUUAGAAAUCGUAUCCCCM